UUUCCGUAGGUGAACCUGCGGAAGGAUCAUUAAUGAGUCUAGGGUCCUCUGGGCCCGAACCUCCCAACCCUUUGUUUAUUGAACCUUUGUUGCUUCGGCGGGCCCGUCUUCUCACGAGGACCGCCGGAGGAUCGCUGUUACAGGCGUCCUCUGGCCCGCGCCCGCCGAUGGCCCACCUCAAAACUCUUUAUCUAAACCGUGUCGUCUGUCUGAAUGUCAUAAAGCAAAUAAAUGCAAAACUUUCAACAACGGAUCUCUUGGUUCUGGCAUCGAUGAAGAACGCAGCGAAAUGCGAUAAGUAAUGCGAAUUGCAGAAUUCCAGUGAGUCAUCGAAUCUUUGAACGCACAUUGCGCCCUUUGGUAUUCCGAAGGGCAUGCCUGUUCGAGCGUCAUUAUCACCCCUCAAGCCCCGUGCUUGGUGUUGGACGGCUUGGUCGAGCUUCGCGCUCGACCCCUCCCAAAGACAAUGACGGCGGCCUGUGGCUCCCCCGGCACACUGAGCUUCUCACCGAGCACGUGUCGGAUCGCGGGCGUCCAGGUCCCGGUCGGCUUUUUCUUGCCCCUGCGCAGGAAAAAAUUAUUUUACAAGGUUGACCUCGGAUCAGGUAGGAAUACGCGCUGAACUUAA
rnacentral:rRNA from 1 species